AGUGAACGCUGGCGGUAGGCCUAACACAUGCAAGUCGAACGGUAGCACAGUAAGAGCUUGCUCUUACGGGUGGCGAGUGGCGGACGGGUGAGGAAUACAUCGGAAUCUACUUUUUCGUGGGGGAUAAUGUAGGGAAACUUACGCUAAUACCGCAUACGACCUACGGGUGAAAGCAGGGGAUCUUCGGACCUUGCGCGAUUGAAUGAGCCGAUGUCGGAUUAGCUAGUUGGCGGGGUAAAGGCCCACCAAGGCGACGAUCCGUAGCUGGUCUGAGAGGAUGAUCAGCCACACUGGAACUGAGACACGGUCCAGACUCCUACGGGAGGCGGCAGUGGGGAAUAUUGGACAAUGGGCGCAAGCCUGAUCCAGCCAUACCGCGUGGGUGAAGAAGGCCUUCGGGUUGUAAAGCCCUUUUGUUGGGAAAGAAAAGCAGCAGGUUAAUACCCCGCUGUUCUGACGGUACCCAAAGAAUAAGCACCGGCUAACUUCGUG
rnacentral:rRNA from 1 species